GGGGCAACAUUGCUGGAAGCCAUGCUAAUCGUUUUGCUCGGCAAAUAAGGAGCAUUUCAGGGGAAAAUAACUGUCUGCAAUUUCCUGACUGAGGUCAAAUAUAUUUCAGUGCUGAGCUACACUGUGACACAGCACCAAGGGCAAUCUGACAGAAACAGGAAACGUCACAGGAUAAACGGAGAAGGAGCGAGGGCAAGAGAGGGGGGAACGUGACAGCACACAGUUCUCUCUACCUGCUGCCACUACACUGCUUUGGGUGAUUUACAACCAACGUAUGCACCACAGUAUUUUCAUGUUGUUCCCGUUGAGUGCCAGGAUGAAGAAAUAUUAUGCUUUGCUGACAAAAUACAGUGACAGCCAUCUCCUGCUAAAAAAAGCGUGCCACAGUGUUAAACCGUAUGAAAGCAGCGAGACAAGUCGGGGUUGAAGGCAUCUGUAGCAGCCCACUGCUAUUUGAUCUAUACCAGCACUGAUUGAACGGAAUGAUGUUUAUAGCCGAGUUAAAAAAUUGACUGUCAAUUAAAAAAUGACACGGGGAAAGCAGAGGUCCCUAAAACAGACGCUGAAAUUUACCCAGCAGUGAUGAUGGGCCUAGCUGGAGAAACGUGGCAUAUGAAUAUAUUUUGUUUCAGUGGGUUUGCCUGCAGAAGAGCAUGUAAAAAAGUAUGUAACACUUUUUGUUAAGGCUCAAGUGAAAGCACGGAGUUGUAUGAGGGCGAUGCAGUCAGGUGGUAACUUGAUAAAUUGAGACACAAAUGUCAGUAUGCAGCGUGUCUCCCUGCGCUCCAUGCUCAAUUGUUUGGUGCCUGGUAAAAAAAACACUAACAUCUAGGAUAUCACUGGCUGUGUUUUCCAUGUCCUGGCUAUAGCCAGAUUUUAUUCACAUGAGUAUGGAACACAUUAAUACUGCUGAUAAACAUAGACCAGCCAUUUUAUCAGAAAUGUCAUAUUAAUGGUGGUUAGGAUCCCAUUUUCUCUCAGAGCGUCAGCAAUUCUUCAUGGCGUGGAUUCUACAUUGUACUGGAAAUGUUCCCAUGUGAUUGUGACCUAUGUUGACAUGAUUUCAUCAUAUAAUUGCUGCAGAUUUGUCAGCUGUACAUUCAUGCUGUGAGUCUCCCAUUCUACCACAUCCCAAAGAUAACUGGGGAGGCCAGUGAUAUACACCAAACUCAUUCCAAUGUUCAUGGAACCACUUUAGGAUGACUUGGCCUUGUGCAAGAAUUAGCCUUUAUAAGUUGGGUAAAUUUUGGCCCAAAAUGAAUGCACAUGAUCAGCAAUAAUAAUACUCAGACAGGCUGUGGUAUUCAAACAAGGUCCAAAUGCACCAAGAAAACAAUCCCAGCACCAGAAAUUGAGAUUUAUGGAGACUAUAACAUUUUUCCAAUCUUCAACUGACCAGUGUGAGUACACUGGGCCCACUGUAGCACUCAGAUUACUGUUCUUGACUGACUUUGAUGAUACAGCACAUUUACCUCAAUGUUUAUUGGACUAUUUGGAUUAUGGCUGAAACACAAAUAGAAUUUGAUUUCAGCAUAAACACCUCUAACCUCGAUCAUUUUAGAAGCACUAUGAACAAAAAACAUAUUUGUAACCUAAUUAAAUUAUGGUCAUUAUGUCAACUUUUGAGUAUUUGUGUUACAAGAAUUCCCCUGAGAUAUUCAUCUCCUAUAACUUUAGGAGCUUUUAUCUCAGUUUAUUUCUUGACUCAUACAGGAAAUUUGAGCAUAAAUGCUGUUUGCAUAAUUUAAAUGUGCACAAAGAGACAGAACCAGUCUUUUUGUUUAGAAUAAAGUCGAAUGUGAGCACAAUACAGAGAAAAAGGGGAUGGUAGACAAUAAUAAUUAUGUGCUAUGGCGGUUCACAAGAAAAUGAGAUUCCACCAGUCGUUAUCAACCUGAUGCCGUAAGUGAUCCAGCUGAUUGGGUUAGAUGUGAAACUGAGGUGACAUGGAAACUCAAACAGAGUAAUUUGGAAAAGAAUAAAGUAAGAUAUCACUGAGGCUUCAUAUCCAGGAUAUCCAGGUUUUCAUCAGCAAUAAGCCUUCAUGCAUCAGUGGAAGCCGUCAUACAUCCUCCCAUCCUGACCAAUAAUCCUUAAAUAUUCACCGUCACAGUCCAUAAAGCUUCAAUAAAUGGAAGAACUCCCAGACUACCCAGUUUUAUUUAUUAAUGUCAAAUGCUUUUUUAUCCAGUCUAGUCCAACAGCAACGUAGCAUAUUAUGUAGAAUAACUGUCAGUGAUAAUGUCCUGUGCAAUAUUUUUCAAACCAGAAAGUUCAUUAUAAGCUAACCAAACAAUAUGGCAGCUUUAUAGCAUUUUGAGAAAAAAUGAAAGUGUCAAUGUGCCAAUCCAGCACUUGUUCAUUGACCUUCAGGUCAUAAUACCUUCUUGGUUUAUCUGAUAAUAUACACAAUGACCUACAUCAAUAAUCUCUCACAUAAUACAUAAUAUCAGCGAGUGUCCCAGAGUAAAACAUAUAGAUCUUCUGAGUCUCAACAUUUCCCCCAGCCAAGCCAGGCAGCCUAACUAAGCUCUCCUGUGUAGCAAUCAGGGACCACCGCUCAGCUAUGGUCCUGUGCACCACUCCACUCUGUCAGGGAUUUUCCAUUGGCCUUGUUGGGCCAUUUUAUUCAUUGUUUCCCUGAUGUAGUGAUUGAUGUUCUGCACUCUUAAUCUGUGUGAAUGAUAACUGCUGGAGUGUGUAUUGUGUGCAAGUGUGACACUGGCCGCGUGGUCAGGGCCACUGCUGACUGCUCACUCCCUCUGCCUCAUUUACAUUUCAAUCUCAACCUCAUGAAUGUGAAGACUCUGGUUCAAAAUUAAUAACACUGUGAGUGGGAGGUGGGCAGCAAAAAGAGGAGGGAGCAAGCAUGCAGAGCAGGUCCUGCUUUCUUCCUCCUUUUGUUCUUCACCAAAAGUGCCCCUACUUUUAUUUCCCCUUUCCAGCCUUUCUGCAAGUCCCCAAUGAAUGGCAUUACAGGCAGUGGCAUAUCUGGAGUGACACAAAUUUAUUUCAGUUGCACCACCAUAGUAUAUUUUCAUAGAACCAGGGGCGAUUUGUCUGGGGACAAUUUAGUUUCCAAAAAGGAUUUAAAUGGUUUCUGUGGAGAUAGUAGGGAGAAAUUUAAUUUGUUUCUCAUUUACUACAGCAGGUAUGAAAAGGAGAAAAAUUGGAUGGCUGAUGGGCUAAAAAUUGGUGCUGUCCCUCUGCUGUAUCCCCUAAAGGACUGGGAUUCUUGAAUAAUAUAGAUUGAGUUCGACCCCCACCCACCAAAGCUGCCACGCAUCCCACUCCCCUAUUCAACCCCCCUCCAAAGCUGCUUCCAGCCCUCUGAGACUGGUAACCUUAAUCCAACUUAAAGAGUAACCUUUGGGGAGACUGCCAAUCACUCCAAAAACAAUGUUUCAAUCGAUCUGGCUGUCCCUGUGAUUUAUGGCUUCAUUUUACAGUAAUUGAGAAUUAGAGGGAAGAUUAGCAAGGCUCAACACUUCAGCUUGAUAUGCACUCUGAGCACUGUAAUUUGUCACAUCGGGAUGUUAGACACUUUCUUACUCACAAAAGGGAGGUGGGAGAGGGGGUUCCCUUCUAAUUGAAUUUCCAGAUAACACUGGAAUUAAUUUGACACUGUCGAAAUUUGAAUACAGCCCUCGUGCCUUCUUAUUGUGAAGCGUAGAGGCCCUCUCGCACACUGCUGGGCUGGCAGACAAUAUUGAUCCAAAUCACUUUGAGUUGAGGCCAACUGAAGUAUGGAAUCACUAAAUCUUAUUUACACUCAUAUUGGAGCAGUUCAUCUGAAGCUAUCCAGUGCAGAUAAAGAAUAUUACCUUUCAUUUUGUUUGACUGCGCCCAGAUGAAGUUUGGAGUAUUUCCGACUGGGGACAAACAUAGCGAAUGCCUGGAGUCAACAGUAGCGAUUGAAUUAGCUGCCAACUUUAGAGGUCCAUUGUCUGGGUAAUUUGUCGUCUAAGUGGCACAAUGAAAGCACUCCCUACCACUUUCUGAGCUCCCACUGUUGUGCUAUCCAUAGCCGAAAGACAAUUCACCCCUACUCUACGCGAUGCAUAUAACAAAGGUUUGUGGAUUAGAAUGCUUCUCCUUCAAUCUGCCAAUUCAUUCAAGAGAAUGUUAUACAUGUUGAAAUGAAAACAAUCUUUCUGACAUUCUGGAUAACACUGGCACUUAAUCACAUAUACAUUGUUUGCAUGAAGGUAUGCUAAAGUAGGAGUGUUUUUAUAUCUAAUAUACAUCAUUUUAUGUGGAGAUACAACAGGGUAACUCUCAUUCAUUAUACUGCAACUGUGAAAUGUAAUAGUCCCUACAUUUCCACAGAGUAUUAAAAUCAGCAUGGGUUUCUAUCCCAGUUGUGCCCCAUUGAGGUUAAGUGCUAUUUUCAGUGGGUUGAGUUAGUGCAGGAGCUCUUUAGCAGGCUAAGAGAUGCAUUUAUCUGCUUAAUGAACUUUGGGCUCUAACUUAAUCCAGCUAAUGCCUGUGUGAGUCAAUUAGCAGCAGCGGAUGUGCUGCGCUAUUUAUGAGCCUGAGCGCAGUCUAGCUCUCCUCAGCACACUGCUGCUUGUGCUGUAGUUUCUUUUGCAAUUGCUCUCAUAUUUUCCAUUGAAUAGGAAUAGCUGAGUGAAUAGCUUAACAUCACUUGCUCCUAUUUUAAACUGAUAGAUGCAACUUAAAAUCAGCUUUUCCUUUUGUUUUUUUUUUAAAUUGUGGUUUGACGUAAUGAACUGGCAGCCCUCUCUCCCUAAUCUUACUUUGGCAAUGCAAGAUUUACAUAAAGUUCCAAAUAAGCUUUGCUUUCAUAAUAUAAUAACAUUAACAUAUGCAAAACCACUAAUGUAAUCAUGAGAACCAGCUCCACUGACGGUAGUAACCACUUGUCCCUAGUGGCUCUCUGGAGACUCUGACACAGAGUAAUUGAGCGUGACACAGUCUUGUAACACACUGCAAAUGAGACAUGUGUCUGAACAUCCAACAGGUUCUAGAGGUGCGUGUAUGUGUCUAACCCCUCAUUUUCCAUUCAGAGCAAGGUGCUCAGCCUAGACUGCAUGGGUCCAGAGGAAAAGGAUAGGAAAGCUGGAGGAGAAAGAGAGAGAGAGAGAGAGAGAGAGAGAGAGAGAGAUGUAACAGCAGGGAGAGAAUGGGGAGGGAGGUAACUGAGAGGCUGACAUAGAUGAGUAGACAGGGCUGAAUGGCCCAUCAAUAGAUCCAUCACGCUGCUAAUUUGGAGCACAUUUUGCAUACAUCAAUUAAGAGGGUGCUGUAUGUGUGCUGUCCUGAACUAAGAGUAAAUAAAAGCCACACUGGUGGCUCCACUGACCUGUGUGACCCCUGAAGCAGAUGUGGAUAGUGUAGCUCCCUGCACAGAUGGGAGAAGAUCAAACAGCACAUUUUACACAUUUACUUUUUUUUUCUUUUUUUCUUUUCUUUUUUUACAUUUUUUAGCUUUUACAUUUAACUAUUUAUUUUUUUCCACAACAUUUAAUAACAUUUAAUAUCAACAUCACUUUAGCAUUGUGAAGUGAUGAAAAUUGUCUUCAUUUAUUAUUCCUCCAAAUGAACAACUGUGUAUAUUUUCUCCUAAUUAAACAAGGUGAUUGUUGUAAUUCUUGUCAAUAUUGGCCAAGAAAUGUGCUUUACAUACUAUCAGUAAAUUGUAUCAACUAUGUUUAGAAAAUAUGUAUAUAAAAUAUUUCCAUUUAUAUUCAACAUCACUGUUUUUUUUUUGUUUUUGUUUUUUUACAUGUUUUCUUGUUGUUGUAAUGCAGGUGUUUAUGCAAGCUAUAUUCACUGCACUCAUUUAGAGCUGGGCUACACAGCAUAUCAGAGCAACCAAUAUAAUGUUCAUCAUAAUUUUUUUUCCAGAAUCAAACAUUUUCAUUUUUUCUGUUCAGCCUGCAACUUAACUCCAAGGCAAGUGCAUGUUAAGUUUUCUGAAAACUUAUAAUGACCACUAAUAUAUUAUACCAGGCUUACAGCUUCAUGUCAUAGUCUCCUGGAAUGAUUUCCUGCAUUGCAAGGUAUGUAAGAAUCAUGCAAAUGUGUUCAUUUGUUGCAGAACCUCUAUAAGGUGGUAUCUCUUGGGUAUAAAAUAUUGUGCUCUGAACAUUUUAUAUGUCCUGACAAAACCAGGAUUAUAUUAAUAUUUUAACACUCUAACCAAUUUACAGCUCAGUGACAUGAAUUAAUAUAAUCAUACAAGUCAAAGCAGAUAAAUGCAAAAGAACCUUGUAGACUGCACUGGACUGUAAGUAUUUUCACACUUCCUUAGUGACAUAUUAGGCAGACAGCCACUUUCCUUCCAUGUCAUUGCGGCAGAAAACAAAUGAUGAGUGCACUUUGAGAACACAGCAGAGCACCACGGGGCAAGUCGUUAACCAUGCCUUAUAGGCUAGACACACUAGGUACCUGUAUGAAGCACAGCACCUGAGGCUAACCAGUUACUAUGCCACUCACUCACCUCAACAAAGUGAUCUGGCACACCAGACUCUAACUCUUGUGUCAUGUCAUAUUUGGAGUAGAUGAAGACGGUUAAGACUACAUGAUUGAGGGGCUUGAAACAGGUUGCAGUGAACCUCAAAAGACAAUCCAGUUGGGUUUAUUUUGUUUAGAUGCAAAGAAAGCUUGAUUCCAGCUGACUUUUUUCCCCUGUGACUUUCACUUCACACAAUUUUGACAUUUCCUGUAACGUAAGACUGUACCAAGAAAGCAGAAGACUGGAGACAAAAUUCUGAGAUAGGAUAUUUAUUUAGUGCUGUCUAAAACUCUUUGAAUAUGUAUCAUCUAAUGAUAUCAUAUAAUGAUGUAAUGGUGGGUCUGGUGGGCCAUCUCAUUUACACCAAGGGGGGAUUUAGCAUAGCCAAUCCAAAACUGUCAUUUUUUUUGGGAAUUGGAAAGAAACCAGAGAACCAUAAAGAAACCCAUGUUCGGAGGAGAACCUGUGAUAUUUCAUCCGGACAUGACUGAACUAGGGAUCCAGGAUCAGUAAGGCUGCACCACUACACCACCAGUUCUAAUAAUACAAUUAAAAUGCUGCAUACUGCAUUAUAAUGGCAGUAUUUGCAGUAAUGUGUAUCAUGUAUCAAAGGUGUAAGUAUCUAAUCCCCCUUUGAUAUAAAUGACCAGGGCACCUUUUUACGUUUACUCUCCCAUUCAUGACAUUUUGACUUUUGACUUUCUGAUCUUUUCCUUUCCCACUAUUGAACGUCGCUGGAAUCAUCUUGCCCCAACUUAAUUACUACAAAUGAGAAACACAGGAUUCUGCAUACUCUAACUGUAUUACACUGAUAUAAUUUAUCUUUGGUUUCUUGUUUUAAGUCCACGUGGCUCCUUAAUAAAUAUUGUCAGUUAAAAUGAAAAUGCA